rnacentral:lncRNA from 1 species
GUGGUCUAUGAUAGAAAAAGAAGGAGAGGAUGCCCAAGAGUUGGGCACCCCUUGUCUUGCCCAGUUUGGAUUUUUCUUGACUAGGUAUUUGACCUAGACAAGGAUUCUUCAUAUCUUUUUAUUUAAGAUAAAUUUUUUCUUAUAAUUUUUAUAGAUUAUAGAGCAUUGAGAGACCUUUGGGGUAUGUGAAAAUUAUAGAGAAAGAG